UGCGUAGGGUGCGAGCGUUGUCCGGAAUUACUGGGCGUAAAGAGCUCGUAGGUGGUUUGUCUCGUUGUUCGUGAAAACUCACAGCUUAACUGUGGGCGUGCGGGCGAUACGGGCAGACUGGAGUACUGCAGGGGAGACUGGAAUUCCUGGUGUAGCGGUGGAAUGCGCAGAUAUCAGGAGGAACACCGGUGGCGAAGGCGGGUCUCUGGGCAGUAACUGACGCUGAUGAGCGAAAGCGUGGGGAGCGAACAGG
rnacentral:rRNA from 1 species